rnacentral:rRNA from 1 species
AACGAACGCUGGCGGCAGGCUUAACACAUGCAAGUCGAGCGCAUCCUUCGGGGUGAGCGGCAGACGGGUGAGUAACGCGUGGGAACGUACCCUUUCCUACGGAAUAGCUCCGGGAAACUGGAAUUAAUACCGUAUACGCCCUUAGGGGGAAAGAUUUAUAGGGGAAGGAUCGGCCCGCGUUGGAUUAGCUAGUUGGUGGGGGAAAGGCCUACCAAGGCGACGAUACAUAGACGGUCUGAGAGAAUGAUCAGCCACAUUUGGACUGAGACACGGACCACUCGCCUACGAGAGGAAGCAGUGGGGAAUAUUGGACAAUGCUCGCAAGCCUCAUCCAGCCAUGCCGCAUGAGUGAUGAAGGCCUUAGGGUUGUAAAACUAUUUCAGUAGGGAAGAUAAUGACGGUACCUACAGAAGAAGCCCCGGCUAACUUCGUGCCAGCCGCCGCCGUAA